rnacentral:rRNA from 1 species
UAUAACCUACGGGGGGCAGCAGUGAGGAAUAUUGGUCAAUGGCCGGAAGGCUGAACCAGCCAAGUCGCAUGAGGGACGACUGCCCUAUGGGUUGUAAACCUCUUUUAUAAGGGAAGAAUAAAUGCUACGUGUAGCAUGAUGCCUGUACCUUAUGAAUAAGCAUCGGCUAACUCCGUGCCAGCAGCCGCGGUAAUACGGAGGAUGCGAGCGUUAUCCGGAUUUAUUGGGUUUAAAGGGUGCGUAGGCGGUUUUUUAAGUUAGUGGUUAAACGUCGGGGCUUCACCUUGAUUUUCCGUUCAUACUGG